GAUGAAGAACGUAGCAAAAUGCGAUACAUGGUGUGAAUUGCAGAAUCCCGUGAACCAUCGAGUCUUUGAACGCAAGUUGCGCCCGAAGCCAUUUGGUUGAGGGCACGUCUGCCUGGGCGUCACAUAUCGUUGCCCGAUGCCUAUUGCACUGUGACAGGAAAUACUAGGGCGAAAGAUGGCUUCCCGUGAGCGUUGUUGCCUCGCGGUUGGUUGAAAAUUGAGUCAUUGGUAGGGUGUGCCAUGAUAGAUGGUGGUCGAGUUUGCACGAGACCGAUCAUGUGUGCGCUCCCCAAAAUAUGGACUCUUUGACCCCACACGCGUCUUUUGACGCUCAUGACGAGACCUCAGGUCAGGCGGGGAUACCCGCUGAGUUUAAGCAUAUCAAUAAGCGGAGGA
rnacentral:misc_RNA from 1 species